ACAAGAUGCUGUAGAGCUGUCUUCUGUUGUGAGAUAGAUGAUGAUCCAUUAUGUGUACAUCCGUGUCUUGCCUUACUAGUCAUCUGUUGGUGGACACAUGUAUUGCUUUCAUGUUUAGCUCUUAUGCUGCUGUGAAAAUGGAUAAACAGAUAUCACUUUGAGACCUAGUUAUAAUUAUUUGGUAUUUUAACUUGAAGGUGCUAAUAUGCUAAUUUUAUUUUAUUUUUUUGGAGGAAUUACCAAAUUUUUUCACAGUGUCUGUUCCCCCCCCCCUUUUUUUUUUGCCUUCUUAUCAGUGGUGCACAGGAUUUCAGUUCUUAUCUCUGUCAGCAGCUAUUAUAUAUACAUAUAUAUAAUGUUUUACAUGUUGAUACCUAUAAAAUCACAUAUAUUUAUAUUAAUAUAUGUGAUAAUUACAUAAAACAAAAUAUUUUCAUAUAUAUACAUAUAUGUACAUAUACAUAUAUGUACAUGUACACACAUAUAUAUAUAUAUAUAUAUAUACAUGCAUAUAUAUAUAUAUAUAAAACCAUGUUAAUAGAGCUGAAGUAGCAUCUCAGUUUUGAUUUGCCUUUCCAAUAAUGUUGAACAUCUUUUAAUGGGCAUUUGUAUAUUGUCCUUGGAAAAUGUCUAUUUAACAUUUCUCUUAAAAGUAUUU
rnacentral:lncRNA from 1 species